AUUGAACGCUGGCGGCAUGCCUUACACAUGCAAGUCGAACGGCAGCACGGGAGCAAUCCUGGUGGCGAGUGGCGAACGGGUGAGUAAUAUAUCGGAACGUGCCCNGUAAAAACGUGGGGAUAACGUAGCGAAAGCUACGCUAAUACCGCAUACGAUCUAUGGAUGAAAGCGGGGGAUCGCAAGACCUCGCGCGAUUGGAGCGGCCGAUAUCAGAUUAGGUAGUUGGUGAGGUAAAGGCUCGCCAAGCCGACGAUCUGUAGCUGGUCUGAGAGGACGACCAGCCACACUGGGACUGAGACAGGCCCAGACUCCUACGGGAGGCAGCAGUGGGGAAUUUUUGGACAAUGGGCGCAAGCCUGAUCCAGCAAUGCCGCGUGCAGGAUGAAGGCC
rnacentral:rRNA from 1 species